rnacentral:rRNA from 1 species
CCUACGGGAGGCAGCAGUGAGGAAUAUUGGUCAAUGGCCGAGAGGCUGAACCAGCCAAGUCGCGUGAGGGAAGACGGCCCUACGGGUUGUAAACCUCUUUUGUCGGGGAGCAAAGCGAACCACGUGUGGUUCAUUGAGAGUACCCGAAGAAAAAGCAUCGGCUAACGCCGGGCCAGCAGCCGCGGUAAUACGGGGGAUGCGAGUGUUAUCCGGAUUUAUUGGGUUUAAAGGGGGCGCAGGGGGAAGAGCAAGUCAGCGGUAAAAUUUCGGGGCUCAACCCCGUCGUGCCGUUGAAACUGGUGUUCUUGAGUGGGCGAGAAGUAUGCGGAAUGCGUGGUGUAGCGGUGAAAUGCAUAGAUAUCACGCAGAACUCCGAUUGCGAAGGCAGCAUACCGGCGCCCAAGUGACGCUGAAGCACGAAAGCGUGGGUAUCGAACAGGAUUAGAUACCCCGGUAGGC